UGGAACCCAAAAGGGUUCUACAAAGGGUUCUCCUAUGGGGACAGCCAAUAACCCUUUUAGGUUCUAGAUUUUUUUCUAAGAGGGUAAAGGAACGAGUUCUGUCUUUUUGUCUGUAGUCUAAGCAACUGUGGUGUUGUAUUGAUCUGAGGGCAUGGUUAAGGGGGUGUAACUCCAGGAGCUGGUCAGCUCGGAAAGGCACUAACUGGCGACAUUAUUAUAUUGGGCAUGAAGCCAACCACACACAGCUAGACUGCAGCCUCAGAACGGAGUGAUGAGAAGUAUAUUCUGCAGGCCAAGCUAUGGGUUGGUUGAACAUGGAUGGAGCAUUUACCUAUAUUACGAACUGGAUCAAACAACACUUACCAUGACCAGAAUGUUAGUUCUCAUAUCCUUGUGUCCUUGGUGAAAAAAAAAACACAAUUCUGUAGUUUUUUGUGAUGUUACAGAGCUGAGGUCUUGAACUCAGCCUCAUGGCCUGUUGGCACCAGGUGUUCCUGGGCAUGGCCUGUUGGCACCAGGUGUUCCUGGGCAUGGCCUGUUGGCACCAGGUGUUCCUGGGCAUGGCCUCUGGUCUAAAAGUUUGGCCAUUCUGUUCAUUCAGGGAGGGUCGGUUCAAGAGCUCUGGCCUGUAAUUUCCAUCCAUGUAUUUGUUUUUUCAGGUUUAAUGUUAUGUACUCUUCAUGUAUAUGUUAUGUCCAAAAUUACUGUCAAUUGUAUUGUUUUCAUUUUUCAUUUGAAUACCAUUUUUAAAGCCUG